rnacentral:rRNA from 1 species
CCAAUAGCGUAUAUUAAAGUUGUUGCAGUUAAAAAGCUCGUAGUUGAAUUUCGGGGUUCUACCGUUGGUCGGGCAAUAGUCUGUACUGGCGUGUAGAAUUUCUACCUUCUGGGGAACCAUCAUGUUAUUUAUUUAGCGUGGUGGGAAACCAGGACCUUUACCUUGAAAAAAUUAGAGUGUUCAAAGCAGGUUUACGUCUGAAUACAUUAGCAUGGAAUAAUAAAAUAGGACGGUGGUCCUGUUUUGUUGGUUUCUGAAUCACCGUAAUGAUUAAUAGGGAUAGUUGGGGGCAUUAGUAUUCAAUUGUCAGAGGUGAAAUUCUUGGAUUUAUUGAAGACUAACUUCUGCGAAAGCAUUUGCCAAGGAUGUUUUCAUUAAUCAAGAACGAAAGUUAGGGGAUCGAAGACGAUCAGAUACCGUUGUAGUCUUAACCAUAAACUAUGCCGACUAGGGAUCGGACGAUGUUAAUUUUUCUUGACUCGUUCAGCGCCUUACG